UCGCUCCUACCGAUUGAAUGAUCCGGUAAAGUCUUUGGACCGUGACUGCUUGGGGGCAACCUCAAGUAGAUGUGGGAAGUUGAUUAAACCUUAUCAUUUAGAGGAAGGUG
rnacentral:rRNA from 1 species